rnacentral:rRNA from 1 species
GACGAACGCUGGCGGCGUGCUUAACACAUGCAAGUCGAACGGAAAGGCCCUGCUUUUGUGGGGUGCUCGAGUGGCGAACGGGUGAGUAACACGUGAGUAACCUGCCCUUGACUUUGGGAUAACUUCAGGAAGCUGGGGCUAAUACCGGAUAGGAGCUCCUGCUGCAUGGUGGGGGUUGGAAAGUUUCGGCGGUUGGGGAUGGACUCGCGGCUUAUCAGCUUGUUGGUGGGGUAGUGGCUUACCAAGGCUUUGACGGGUAGCCGGCCUGAGAGGGUGACCGGCCACAUUGGGACUGAGAUACGGCCCAGACUCCUACGGGAGGCAGCAGUGGGGAAUAUUGCACAAUGGGCGGAAGCCUGAUGCAGUAACGCCGCGUGCGGGAUGACGGCCUUCGGGUUGUAAACCGCUUUCGCCUGUGACGAAGCGUGAGUGACGGUAAUGGGUAAAGAAGCACCGGCUAACUACGUG